UACGGGGGGAGCAAGCGUUGUUCGGAUUUACUGGGCGUAAAGGGCGCGUAGGCGGUCAGCACAAGUCAGUUGUGAAAUCUCCGAGCUUAACUCGGAACGGUCAACUGAUACUGUGCGACUAGAGUGCGGAAGGGGCAACUGGAAUUCUCGGUGUAGCGGUGAAAUGCGUAGAUAUCAGGAGGAACACCGGUGGCGAAGGCGGAUCUCUGGGCCUUACCUGACGCUCAGGUGCGAAAGCUAGGGGAGCGAACAGG
rnacentral:rRNA from 1 species